AUUGAACGCUGGCGGCAGGCCUAACACAUGCAAGUCGAACGAGUGGCGGACGGGUGAGUAAUGUCUGGGACACUGCCCGAUGGAGGGGGAUAACUACUGGAAACGGUAGCUAAUACCGCAUACCAUCGGAUGUGCCCAGAUGGGAUUAGCUAGUAGGUGGGGUAACGGCUCACCGAGUCGACGAUCCCUAGCUGGUCUGAGAGGGUGACCAGCCACACUGGAACUGAGACACGGUCCAGACUCCGACGUGAGGCAGCAGUGGGGAAUAUUGCACAAGGGGCGCAAGCCUGAUGCAGCCAUGCCGCGUGUAUGAAGAAGGCCUUCGGGUUGUAAAGUACUUUCAGCGGGGAGGCGUUACCCGCAGAAGAAGCACCGGCUAACUCCGUGCCAGCAGCCGCGGUAAUUC
rnacentral:rRNA from 1 species